UACGUAGGGCGCGAGCGUUAAUCGGAAUUACUGGGCGUAAAGCGUGCGCAGGCGGUUCUAUAAGACAGAUGUGAAAUCCCCGGGCUCAACCUGGGAACUGCAUUUGUGACUGUAGAGCUGGAGUGCGGCAGAGGGGGAUGGAAUUCCGCGUGUAGCAGUGAAAUGCGUAGAUAUGCGGAGGAACACCGAUGGCGAAGGCAAUCCCCUGGGCCUGCACUGACGCUCAUGCACGAAAGCGUGGGGAGCAAACAGG
rnacentral:rRNA from 1 species